UUUUAGUAUGAGGGGCGCCCGGUUUUGGAACGCGUACAUCGCGCCCAGACUGUUUGGUGCAACCGACCUCAAGUUGCCGUGGAUAAAUCUGAUGAUACCCUAAUUCGGUUGGCUUUAAUCAUGGCUACCGACGGAGCCUAUACCACUGCUCGCUAAAAGCUACAAGACGCUGAUCACGAAAUGUUAAUAUCCAUUGAAAAGUGUAAACUGACCAUAAACUGUGCUAAACCUUGACAGUCAUUGACCGAAUUGCUGGUAACAUAUAUCGGUAUUGUGACUAUGCUCUGGCCAAUCAGAUAAUUUACAUAUUACACAUAUCGUGACUACAUUAAAAAAAAACUCGUAUCUUUUGUCAAUCAAAAGAAGCAGUGCUGAUAAUUCCGCUACUCGAUGCUAGAUGUCGACUACGAAAAUAAUAGUCUUUUUGGUACUAAAACUGAUGUAUGGAGUGAGCACUCUAUGUAUUUUUUUCUCUAUGACAUGACUAAAAACAAAGACAAUUUAGACUAGAGUAAUAUUGUCAAAGUAAAUUAGUCAAUACAUUUACUCGACAGUGCCGAUCGUCGAGUAGAUGGCGUUACUUUUUGAUAUUUAAAAAAUUUAACUCAUCAGUGAAAUAAUAAGGAGCAAAGUCAAAUGGCGUUCUAAAAGUUUUUAUGAUUUGUGUCGAAAGAUGGCAGUAAAUGUACUGACUACAAAAUUUACUUUGACAAGACGCCUCUAGUCUAAAUUCUCUUUGCCGUAAUAUUACGAUAUGAUGAUGUAUGAGAGAAUGAUGAUGAAUUUAAAAAAAACAAUAUAGUGACUAUGGGGCCAUAAUAUUAUAUUAUAGUUGUAAGAGCUAACCCUCACCUCAUCUUCGUUCUAAUACCGCCUUAUGUUAAUCGGUCAACCCUUUGAAUGCCACAUGAAAAACUCUUGACGUGAUAUGACGUCAAUAUAUUUGUGGCGUACAAAGGGUUAGACGUGUUAUACUGUAAGUAGUAGUAUUGAUUUUAUUUCAAUAAGUGGAACGCAAGAAAUAGCUUGACGCAAUGAAAAUUUUACUUCAAUAUGAAAUAAAGUAAUUUUUUCAGUUUACGUCUUGGAAAAUGGAAAAGAAUGGUAAAAAGAUAUUAGUGUAACCGAGAAGGCUAUAACUGCAUAAGACUGCGCCAAUCGCGCAUUCACACUGCGUCGUUUCUGAGUCGUUCAAACAAUGUCGGUUGCCUGGCAACCACCUCUUUGAUACGGCAACCCCAUUAACCCUUAAGGUGACAGUCCAUUUCCAACGAUAGCAGCACUACCAUUCAUUUUACUAUGGAAAUUGACAAUAACACCGACGCGUUCGUACUAGUAGUGCAGCUGCGUUCAGCUUACGCCACGCCUAACGUAGGCGCGUGACCAUGAACCUUGUCGCAAUGCACGAAGGUUGAUAUUGGGUUGCAGCCGCGCGCGUCAGUUGCCGUCUUUGGCGGUCGGCGCGUUAAGUGAACGACCAGCUGUAACUAAAGGUUGUUUUGAGGCCUAAAAUGUGUCGGAUAUUACCGAAAUAAAGGUAUACAUUUUUAUAUUGUAUGCGAAUGUAGGAUGGAGAUAGGAAAGCACAUGAAAACUCCAAUGAAUGUGAUUUGAACUGAUAGGUUUGAUGAAGGUUUCCCAAAUGAUUUGAUAUUAUUUAAGUUUAAUUAUGUAUUUUAAGUUUAUAUUUGCAAUAUUUUGUGCAAUGCUUUUAAGUGAUUAGUGGCGUACAGUAAUAGUUUUAAAUCGAAAAUUAUGGUUGAAUAUAUGUUAGUUAUUUUUAAGUAAAUACAAUAUAUCAAGUGUCUAAAUAUUGUGUUAGUUUAAAACAAUAUGUGUAAAGGGUAUAUUUGGAAUAGUCUGUAAUAAUGUAAGGUGUGUUUUAAUCAAGCUUUGAGGUUCCGUAUUUCUGUGUGGUAAGACCUGUUUAAAACUUUUUAAUAUGAAACCGUUCAAAAUCUUAUAGAAACACCGUACUGACAGUACCUUACAGACAUUCAAAAUAAUCUUUGCAAAUAUUGGAUGGUGUAAUGUCGUUUAUUUAUAAAUAAAUGACAGUGUGGAUGUGCCUUAACCCUUUCACUGCAUGUGUGACGUCGAUACUCGUCAAUAUCACGUUUGUGACACUUGGCACCCUGUCGUGAGCAGUGAAAGGGUGUUUAAUGUUAACUUACUUUAUACGCUAGUUAUUAAUGUAAUACGAGUUCUGAUUAUUCUUCAUCAGUAAUAGUUAUUUGCGAUACAAGUGCUAAACAUAGGAAAUUCGCAACGAGUUGCGAAUUACCUAUUCGCACUUGUAAUGUACAAUGUUUUACAGUACAUAGCCCUUUAAAUUUUCGACGUAGUUACGUAAUGUGCUUAUUAUAGCACCUGGUGUCGUAAUGUAGCACCAGAUGUACUGUAAAGAUGUUUAUAAUGCUGCAAGCGCAUUUACGUUUUACGUAUUCUGUUCGGCUGUGGUACUCAUUUUGUCAGUUAUCGACUCUUGACACUACUUAAGAGUUAUCGUCUGCUACGUUAUCUCUUUCACUGUCACAAGAUGACACUAGUUUCGUGUAAGGUUGACGAAAUAUAAAGUUAGCCGAGCUCUCCAACAAGUUUGAACAAGAUCGGCUCACUUUAUAUUUCGGCAACUAUACCCUUGACAGUGAAAAGGUUAACGAACUCGUAUUUAUUUUAAACGUACGUUGCUUUAACUCGUUUGUUUCACCGUUAAGUUAAGUUUUUGUUAACUAAAUACAUAGCGAAAUAUAAUAUAAGCUAUAUGAUAGCAUGUUAUUUUUAUAUUAAAAUUUUUACAGUGAGUUUCACAUACUUUAUAUGCAAAACGAAGUUAUAUGAAAUUCAAAGUAUUAUGAAUAUGAUUAUUAUAUGAUUUAUUUUUUCACAACUCAUAGAUUUUUGAUAGAUGGAGACAUAAAAAGGACCCAUUCCUAUAAAUAGGUGUAAAAUAGUGUUAUUUGAUUGCAAAUUUGUGUUUGGCAUUCUCUUGAAUCUGUUGCUAAGCUCAGGAUUCAUUAUUUCGCCCUCGGCCUAAACAUGUAUUUUGUGACAUUACUUUUGACUGCCACAGACGUCGACGUGAUAACACGUCACUGAGCAGUCAAAGGGUUAAGUCGAGGUGCCUUAAAAGUGCCUUUUAUGGAGACAGAUGGCGCCGUGCAUUAAAUGGAGUAUUCUUUGUAAACUAUUUUUAAAAUGUUUUUUCAAUAGUGUAGUUGUUGCAUGUAUAGUAUAGUUUAUAUAUUAUAUAAAAUAAAGGAGUAUAUGGAUUGUGUAGUCAAUAAAUGUAUAUAAAGC